AAAAUAGAAUUACUGUCUAUUCUUUGGAACAUUAUAGUUUAAACAACUUGGUGGUCUUUGUAUUCUCAGAUAUAACUAAAAGGCUAUUCAAGUGAUUACAUAAAUUUUAUUGUGAAGAAAUACUCUUGGGACGAUAUAAAGGAUCCCCAUCGAGUUGUCCUCUAAGAUACUCUAUAAUUAGAGCAGUUUCUUACUAAUAGUAUACAUUUUGAAGUUCAUAUCUGAAGUUAUUUUUAUGACUUGGAAUAGGGGAGCAACUAUGAAGUGGCACAAAUCUAAUGUUGUAUGAGCAUUUAUUGGUUGAAUUCUAGGCCAUCCCCAACUUUUAUACAAAAUACAUUUUAAACAUUCCAUUCUAUUGUUGGAAUGUGAGAAAGUAAACUUGUGUGUUUGUGGGAGAAGGAGACAUAUAAUGGGAUGAGGGGGACUGGUUGAGAAUGUUCCAUAUCUGAAUUAAAAAAACCCUAAUUUUACCUGUGUGUUCAGAUACAAUUAUCAAGGAUAUACUUCCAGUACUGCAUAUAUGUUCUCUUGAUUUUGUUACCCGUUUUAAAUUGUGUCUUCACAAUUUAAAACUGAAAUUUUUAAUUUCACAAUCAAAACUGAAAUUUUGAUAAGCACACCACCAAUGACAAUCGCAUCUGUAAGAACUAAUUGUUUUAUAUUUUGCAGCAACAUUUUCCUUAGGAAAGAGUGGUACUCAAUAAGGAGAAGUGAUGUAGGUCAGAAAGCUUGGGCAGCAUGGUACACUGGUUAAAAGCAUCGACUCCACAGUCAAACUGCCUUAGUCCAAAUUGUUACUUAAUAAAGUUAAAUUAAGCUUUUUGGAAAGCUGCUUUAUUUCUAUAUUCUGGUUUCUCAUGUAAACCUCAUAGGGUCUUUGCAACUGUUGACUGAAAUAAAACAUGUAAAUUGAUUAAAAUCAUGACGGGCACAAAGUAAGUGUUCAAUUAACAAUAAAAACAAUUUAUCUGGGCCAGAAACUAUACUGUGCAGUUUACAUAUUACAAUUCAGUUAAUUUUCAUAUGCAGAGUGAAGAAUCUCAAGCACAGAGAGGUCCAGUAGCUUAUAGCAAUGGAAUUUCCAUCUCAGCAGAUGACUGUUGAAUUCAGUGUUAAUUGAUUUACAAUACUGACUCUUAAAUAAUGUUAAUUGCCAUUAUUCCAAUUUUUGGAUGUCUAUUUUUGAAAAAAAAGUUUCUAAGUUUUGGGUCUUCUGUGUAGGUUCAGUACAUUUUGGGGGUCUGGAUAACUUAGGAUGGCAUCUUCAUCACUGAGUCUUUUCUUUUACCUUUAACUCAUUGACUUCCUUCUGUUUGGUAUAAACAUUCAUCACAGAUGCUAUAAAAAUUCAAAUCCAGUACUAACUACCCAAUGAGACAGUAGGCCCCUUGAUUGAUAGCAGGAAACACAGGAAUCACUAGUGCCAUGCUGAGGACACAUGACGGGGUCUACAGCAUUUUCAGAUAGAUGCUUAUGUAACUAAUGACUUCAGUUUAUUUUAAAUACAUAUGUAGGAGGGUUGAAGCCUCCUAUGAGUACAGAAAGGUUAUCCCAACGCAUUAUUUAAUAUAUCUUCUGAUGAGGCUCGUAGAGAUUCUAGAUUUUCCUAAUUAUUGCUCUGGUUAAGCAAUAAAUAACAAAUUGAUCAUUAUGUAAUGGCAUAAAUAUGAAUCCAUUAAAAUACUGUCCCAACUCUGGCUCUUAUUCUUCCAUCUAGCUGCCAAAGGAACCCAGAAAGUAGAUACUCCAGGAAUUCUGACAAUGCAAAUUAUUCAGGUUUCCCAGCAUGUCCUGCGGGCACAAUGAGGCCAUACCAGCUCAGGCUGUGCACUCUGAUCCACACUUACUAAACUUUCUGUAAUUUCCAUAAAAGUCAGUUAUGCAUGAAGAACAAUUCAGCCAAAAUUGGAUACUUUUACUGACACAGCACUUCUUGGAUGACAAAACCAGAGACUUUGUAGGGUCUUAGACCUGGCAUUAGGUAUCAUAGAACUUUCUCUUAUUUAUUGAUGAUGGAAUAGAUCAUGUGUGCAGAAAAAUCUGAAUGAAAUAAUACUUGAGGCAUUUUAGAUCAUUUCUAUGUGUAAUGCCAUCUUAAGAAUGUACAUAGGAUUGAGGUUUCAGGUCUUUCUAAGUGGAGUUUUCUUGUUUAUUGAUUCGUCAAAUAUUCUAAAAUUGUACCAAGGAAUGAUAAUUCAUAUUUCUAUUUUCACAAGUAUUAUAUUUAACAACAUGGUUUUAAUAGAAAAGAGAUCAUUAGGAGGUUGGCUUGUGUGCCUUAUUGCAGCUUAGUUACUCCCACCUGUAAAGAAAUACACCUCUACAUGUUGCAUAGUACAAUUAGAAGUACAUGCAGAAUGAAAGCCACAGGGCCAGAAAGAGGCCAACCAUCUGAGAGCAUAUUAUAAAGUGACCUAUGGCCCUGCUAAGGCUUUAGGGUCAGAGAUGAGUAAUACUGGCUUCAGAAGACAGAUGACCAACAGAUAGAAAACUCAAGCACUGUAGCACACAUUUUAUCCAAAAUAAAAAAUAAUAAUAUGAGCUUAGGAUUGACUGAAAGACCUUUUUUCUCUGGCAUAAUUUGGAGGUUUAUGGGUCAAUGAAGAGUUCACAGGGCUGGUAUCACUAGCCCAUGAGUUCCCAAAUCAUUGCCUUUUCUUCUCAGUACUCCAGGUACUUUCUAAACACAGCAUUACUCUAACCAAGUUUACAAUGCACAAGACUGGAUAAUAUAUUACAACGCAUAAUGUUUUAAACAUUAAAUAAUAUUCUACUUUGUAUUGAAGAGUUAAGCAUUUUUUUUCCUAACUAGGUCAUAAACUUUUUUGAGGGUAUAGUAUAUUGACAUGAGUGUGUGUGUGCUCCAGAGAACCUAACAUAUGAGUUUCAUAGCAGUUUUUUAAAGAAUGUUCAUUGAAUUAAAGUACACAAAGGUCAUUGAAGGAUUAAUGUCAUUGGUCAGUUGCAAAGAAAUAAUACGGAUGCUAGAAAUAGCAUAACUAUGAAUACAAUAGAGACUCUAAAAAGAAACCAUAACAUGUAUUUAAAAAUUAUUUGGUCUAGGUUAAAAACAUUUGGCUAAACAGCUGGGCUAUUUACUACGAAUAAGAGUCACAAUACUAAACAGUGAUUAAUACUACCAGCAAUUCUGAGCUAUUGUGUGGAUCUGUUUUAUUCCUCCAAGGGUCACUUUUAUGGCAAACGAAAUGAGGCAGUAACAGACAACACAAAUGUUAUACUUAUUUAAGCAUUCGGAAAAAUAAUGCAAACUAGCACUGUUGCUCUUACUUAUAAUAUUAAACUCUAAUGAAUUAUUGGUAAACCUAAUACUGAUAUAAAGUUCCCAUUUAUUAUACCAUGAUUUCUAUUGGGAAGAACAUAAUAUACUCAAAUCUGUCAGUGUUACAAUGAAGAAUCAUAUUUGGUCAGAUUCCAACAGAACAUGAAAUAUUGCUAACAUUUUCCUUGCUAUUAAUACUUGUGCACCCUGAAGUGGGCCAAAGAUUGAAAUUGAAUCAAGGAAGAUGUAGAACAUGUGAAAACACCUACCUUAGUGGAAUAUUAAGUUCUGUAGCUCUCUCCUAAUGUAGGUAAAAAAUUGUAAUAUGAAUAUAAGAAUAGUGGAAGUUAUUUUAUAAUUCCUGUGAUUUGUGAUUGUCGGUUUACAGUUUUCUAGUGCUCAAAGUAAAACACAGCAAAAAGUAAUUUUGACAUGCUGCAGCAGAGUUGCAUAGUCGUAUACUGGUGCGGCUCCAUGGGUUUAUAGCAUCCACAUCAUGGAAACCAUAGCAACAGCAACGACCUCCUCUGUAGCACUGAAAAUGCAAGUCUCUAGUGUCAUAGCUUCAUUCUAACCACUGUAAGAGAGAACUUAAUAAACACAUAAAUCAUUUAGCCUGUAGACUGAAAAUUGUUAAUGUCCUGUUUUUGACUUCCUUCAGUGUUUGUUUGAGACUUGUCAGAUUUAGACUCUGUUGGGUCCCAUUCCAAUACCUUUUCAAGUUCCUCCCAUCCGUCUGGGUCUUCCAUCCAGGCUCUAAUCAGAGUGGCAGAAGUUGGCAAUGUUGUUCAUGUGUGAGGUCGUUUUUAGCAUCAUUAUCAUCAUCAUUAUUUGUAUCCUUUCGUUACCUAUUGGGCUUAAAAAUGUCUCUGAGUCUUCAUAUUGCCAAUCACACUGAGGAUGCACCAGCUUGAUGGCCCAGGGAAUCAACAUCUCAGCACAUUCUUUAGCCAUCCAAAACACCGUAAUUUGGGGUUCUUUAGCAUAGCCAGUUUUGUUGGAAAAAUUCGCUCAGUUAUGUCCAAAAAUCAGUUGAUUAAAAGUAUUUUUACAUAUAUCAGAAUAAAAUACCGAUAUUCUUCCAUCUCCCCUUUAGUUACACUUCUGAACCCUAUUCAGGUUGCCAAGUCAGAAACUUGUGUGUCAUCAUAGACCCUUUCCUCUUCCUCUCCAUUUUUCCAAUAGAAGAGAAUUUUUGAAGUCAUAAGAUUUCAAUCUGGUGCACAUUUUUUCAUUCAUAUUCUCCUUUACAUCUUCACUGCUAUUACUCUGGUUCUGAUGUUGACCAUCUCUCUGUAGACCAUUGGAAUGACUCCCAGCUGAAGGCUUCCACUCCAAGGUUUAGAACACUUCAUUCUUACACUUGCAGUUUCCAAGGGUACCUGUUCCUAGAUGUCUCUUGUAAUUGCCUGCUGUUUUUUUGUGAUUUGUCUCACACGAUUUUUCAGUCACUUCCUCUCCAUUUCACAGUUCAGAUAAGGUGGUCUUCAACUGGUGAAGUGAAGUCCAUGUUGCCCAGGCUGGUCUUCAACUCCUGGGCUCAAGGAAUCCUCCUGCCUCAGCUUCUCAAAGUGCAGGGAUUUCAGGUGUGAGCCACCACACCCGACCUGGAA
rnacentral:lncRNA from 10 species